rnacentral:rRNA from 1 species
UACGUAGGAUGCAAGCGUUGUCCGGAAUUAUUGGGCGUAAAGAGCGCGCAGGCGGUCUAUCAAGUCAGAUGUGAAAUAUCCCGGCUUAACCCGGAAAGGUCAACCGAUACUGCGGGGCUAGAGUGCAGAAGGGGCAACUGGAAUUCUCGGUGUAGCGGUGAAAUGCGUAGAUAUCGAGAGGAACACCUGCGGCGAAGGCGGGUUGCUGGGCUGACACUGACGCUGAAGUGCGAAAGCUAGGGGAGCGAACGGG